rfam:Homo sapiens chromosome 15 genomic contig HG2139_PATCH, GRC reference assembly FIX PATCH for GRCh38.
GCCAGGCGUGGUGGUGCAUGUCUGUAAUCCCAGCUACUCAGGAGGCUGAGACAGGAGAAUUGCUUGAACCCAGGAGUUGGAGGUUGCAGUGAGCCAAGCUCGUGCCACUGCACUCCAGCCUGGGCAACAGAGUGAGACUCUGUCUCAA